rnacentral:rRNA from 1 species
AGCGAACGCUGGCGGCAGGCUUAACACAUGCAAGUCGAACGCGCGUAGCAAUACGUGAGUGGCAGACGGGUGAGGAACACGUGGGAACAUACCCUUUGGUUCGGAAUAACUCAGGGAAACUUGAGCUAAUACCGGAUAGGUCGGAAACGAGAAAGAUUUAUCGCCGAAGGAGUGGCCCGCGUCUGAUUAGCUAGUUGGUGAGGUAAUGGCUCACCAAGGCGACGAUCAGUAGCUGGUCUGAGAGGAUGAUCAGCCACACUGGGACUGAGACACGGCCCAGACUCCUACGGGAGGCAGCAGUGGGGAAUAUUGGACAAUGGGCGCAAGCCUGAUCCAGCCAUGCCGCGUGAGUGAUGAAGGCCUUAGGGUUGUAAAGGCUCUUUUGUCCGGGAAGGAUAAUGACUGUACCGGAAGAAUAAGACCCGGCUAACUUCGUGCCAGCAGCCGCGGUAA